UAUCUUCAAUUGGCACCACUCCAAAUUACCUAUUAUGUCAGAUCAAAUUACUAGUAGACUAGAAGGAUCAUGUAGCUUGGCUAUUGUUGAUUGAGUGACAGCCGUUGAGGAUGUUAAUUGCAGAAUCGUGACUUAAUUUUAUAACCCUCUUAUCCCUCUUAUCCUACAUGUUUAUAUACAGAGCUUGAUGUGGAUAGACAAAACCUUGGCUUGUCUCCCCUCGCCCAGUGAGUUUUUAGGGACCUAUUCUUCCAACGCAUUUAUCCAAGUGUGUGUCAUUCAAGUGUGCAUUUGCCUAUAUAUCAUGAAUGUUUGCCUGGAGGUGUUAUAUCUGGGCAUGAGUAGGUGACUAGGUGCAUUAGUGGGCUGAUAUGUUUUGAGUUGAAGUCUUGCUAAAUGUGAAUUGAGUAAUGAGAUUAUUCUCACAAUGUACAAGCAAGCUGUUCUGUUAUAGGUCAACCUGAAAUAAGAAUGCAAUGGCUGGAUUUGUCCGUAUUCAUCAAACCAUGAAAUAUUAUCAAAUGAGUAGCAUAUUUUGAUGUGAGAUUUCUUCAAUUCCCAGGCAAACUGAAUGGUGCUGCUAUCCAGUUCUCAUUUUUCUUCAACUUCCCUUUUCAAUGGGAGACCAGAUAUGACACGAAUAUUGAUUUACUCUCUCUUUUUUUUGUCCCCCUCUAAAACAUCACAUUUGCUUUCUGUUGUGUGGCUAAUGUAUGCUUAUUUUGUCCUGUCAACUGGCUUUCAGCAAAUCGAGCUGUGGAAGUCAAUGAGAUGUGGCGAAUACGGCAAAAAGAGCUCGAGCUAGAUGAUAGGCUUAAAGGGAGAUCAAGACAUGAGAAUAGCAGCAGCACAAGUAAGAGGCAUGCUACUGUUGAUGACAACACUGGUGCAUCAUGCUCCUCAAGUAAAAGAAUAUCUGGGAACUGCUAUUCCAAACAAGAUGAAGGUUUAAGGGAUGAUGAGGUUGAGGAAUUUUUGCAUUUGAGGGUCAAGCGGGGUCGAGGUGCAGUGGGUUCAAGGAUGGAUGAAACAGGUCCUUAUCUUUUGCCUUGUACGGAAUCCAAGGAAAAGCCAUCCGCCAGCCUGGACUUGAGGGAACAUCGUGUUGUUCUGGGUCCAGGGAAACCCUCAUCAGUAAAGUCUUAUGAAUCUUCUGAGGAGGAGCUU
rnacentral:misc_RNA from 1 species